CCUACGGGCGGCAGCAGUGGGGAAUAUUGCACAAUGGGGGAAACCCUGAUGCAGCAACGCCGCGUGAGGGAAGAAGGUUUUCGGAUUGUACACUUCUGUUCUUAGUGAAGAAUAAUGACGGUAGCAAAUGAGCAUGCCCUGACUAACUCUGUGCCAGCAGCCGCGGCUAUCUGUGGGCGGCAAGCGUUGUCCGGACUUACUGGGUGAAAAGGGACCGGAGGCGGGAAGCCAAGUCCGCUGUGAAAACGACGGGCUUAACUUGUGGACUGCAGUUGAAACUGGGUUUCUUGAGUGAAGUAGAGGAUAGCGGAAUUCCGGGUGUAGCGGUGAAAUGCGUAGAUAUUCGGAGGAACACCAGUGGCGAAGGCGGCCAUCUGGGCUUUAACUGACGCUGAGGCUCGAAAGCGUGGGGAGCAAACAGGAUUAGAUACCCGAGUAGUC
rnacentral:rRNA from 1 species